rnacentral:tRNA from 1 species
GUUCCUGUAGCGCAAUUGAUAGCGCGUUGGACUUAUAAUCCAAAGAUCGUGGGUUUGAAUCCCAUUUGGGAUA